AUGUUGUUAAUAGCGGCCAACGUGGCCGCAAAAGUGGUGUGGUGCGGAAAAAUUGGCCUGGCCGCUUCCAAGCGUACUGGCUUGGCGCAAAAUGAGAAAGCGGGUGGCACGGCUGCGAUCACGGGUCUGGUAGCGUGUCCGAUGCGGUCAAAAGGGGCCGGUUUAUUUGGUUUGGAGCAAAAACACCAAAUUUGCAGCUCCUUGCUUUUAAAAUAUAUGUAUAUUUAUCAUAGAACGUAA